ensembl:lncRNA
AAUGGGAACAUGUUAAACAAAUAGUAUGGUUUGAGCUUGUUUAUCUUGGAGAAGGCUCCACCCUCCCUAACUAAGGAAGAACAGCUGCAGAGAGGAUUUCCCAUUUCUCGAUCUACAGAGAAAGACAACUCCAAGUCUAUUUUCUGCUGAGAAACUCCAAGACAGGGAAAAUGACGCAUGGAUAGAUAAUUUGCCAAUGGGGAGCUGAAGAUAAACAGACUGAAAGAAGGUAUUUUCUGAAGCUUAAUAGAAACUUACAACAGGAUUAACAAUGAAUUGAAAAGGGGGCAGCUACAAAACAGGUCAAUGUCUGAAGGUCAAGCAAAAGGAACAAAGUGAAACAAAUACCAGUAAAAUGAGAGGAAAAAUCUUCUCCUCUUGUUUGGCAAAGCUUGGACUAGAAAUGGCCCCUCUGGCAAAGAUUUCUUGGGGCCUAAAGUCAACUAGUGAUGCCCACAGUCUAUGAACAAAGUAUAUUCUGUUCAUAGGCCCAUAGUCAGUGCCUAGCCAGUCCAGCUAGGUACUUGGUUAUUUGAAGUUUCACAGCCUUUUUGUAUUUAUCAUUUGGAUCCUGACAGCCUUAGAGGAGCUGUUUCCUUCCAGCAGAGAAUUGUUGCAGACAACACGGACCUCUGGUUGAAGGAGAUGAUGG